GGCCAAUGAUUAAGCAAAAAAUUAAAGACAAGCAUAUGGCUGAAUUUUUUGUGUUGAAUAACUAAUCUUCUCUAUGAGGCC
rnacentral:snoRNA from 1 species